rnacentral:rRNA from 1 species
GAUGAACGCUGGCGGCGUGCCUAAUACAUGCAAGUCGAGCGAACAGACGAGGAGCUUGCUCCUCUGACGUUAGCGGCGGACGGGUGAGUAACACGUGGAUAACCUACCUAUAAGACUGGGAUAACUUCGGGAAACCGGAGCUAAUACCGGAUAAUAUAUUGAACCGCAUGGUUCAAUAGUGAAAGACGGUUUUGCUGUCACUUAUAGAUGGAUCCGCGCCGCAUUAGAUAGUUGGUAGGGUAACGGCUUACCAAGGCAACGAUGCGUAGCCGACCUGAGAGGGGGGUCGGCCACCUGGGAGCGGAGACACGGUCCAGACUCCUGAGGGACGCAGCAGUAGCGAAUCGUACGCAGUGGGCGAAAGCCUGACGGAGCAAGGGCGCGUGAGUGAUGACGGUCUUCGGAUCGUAAAACCCUGUUAUUAGGGAAGAACCAAUGUGUACGUAAAUAUGCACGUCUUGACGGUACUUAAUAAGAAAGCCACGGCUAACUACGUG